rnacentral:rRNA from 1 species
UUCAUAUAAUAUUUAUUAAAUUAUAUUACUUCUAAAUUCAAUUUCCAUCACUCCUACAAAAAAUUUCUAUAAAGAUUAUAUAGAAACACAUUUAAUCUUAUAUAACCUACGCCUUGAUCUGACUUAAUACCAUCAAGUAUACGAGCUAUUUUUGCAAACUACUCUAUCCGACGACGGUGUGUAAGGCAAAUAUAAGUAAGAUAUUCGUGCAGUUUCGUAUUAAUAAACAUGUCUCUCUAGUUAGACACAAGUACUGCCAUAUAAUUAAGCUUUUCAAACUAAAAGUUAUAAUCCGCUCAUGAAAGUUAACUACGA